rnacentral:lncRNA from 1 species
UUUGUUAAUGCUCAUUUUGGCCCUCAAAUCCCUUCAAUUUCGAUGAAGCCAGUUUCAUUAUUUGGAGGUGAACCUAUUGUUCUCUUUUUUGCUGCAAAAAUCCAGAUCAUGGCUGAGCCUUUCAAAUUAUCGCUUGUUGGUAAGUUUUCAUUUGGCCAUCCAUCUAUGGAUUUGAUUCGAAAAUUUUUUGUUUCUUUGGGUUUGAAAGGUUGUGCACAGAUUUCUUUACUAGAUAAUCGACAUUUGUUGAUCAAGCUUCAUUUUGAAGAAGAUUACUCACGUAUUUGGAGUAGGCAGACUUGGUAUAGCAAGUCCAUGUGCAUUUUCAAGUGGUCUAUUUCUUUUCGGUGCUUUGAAGAAUAUCAUGUUGCUCAUGUCUAGUGAUUAUUAUUAAAAAUUAUUUAAUUAUCAAGCGAUAAUAUGUUAUUUUAUGCUUUUGUUAUAAUUUAUAUUUUUGUUUAUGUAAUAUAUUAGGAAUUAUUAAUUAUGUUUUAAAUAUAUUUAAUUGUGUAUUUUUAUGUGUUUAUUAGGAAAAAUAUUAAUUUUACGUAAUUCGAGACUUCAAACAGAUAAACGGAGGUCAAAUUUGGAUUCCGG